UCUUCUGGUUUUCCCUCAUUCUCUUCUUUCUUCUUCUUCUCCAAGACCCAAACCCGUGGGUAUUGUGCAUCAGUACAUAAGUCAUAUUUUGGAAGCUCGGAUCAGAAAACUUCCUUGAUGAAAGUUGCUCAUCUGCUCGAGUACUAUAGCCUGUAAAAUUUUCUGAUUUCUUUGAAUUUUUCUGAUGCCUCAAAGCUGGUCUGCAACUUCUGUGUUCAUCCAUGGCUGGUGUAUACGUCUUUGGCACAGGCAGGGGAAGGUGUCGGAAGCCUGCGUUGUAUCCCUUGCCGUUGGAAGCUUCGAGUGUACCGACUUCGCAACUUGGCAAUUUGGAUUUCUAUCUUGAUUUCUCAAUAAAUAGUUCUGCUCCUUCACUAGAAUCGGACUCACAUAAUAAGUCCCAAUGACCUUUGUGAUGAGUGAUAGCCUAUUUCCUCUUGCACGACGGGUUGAAGAAUGGACAACUACCUUCAUAGCUUAGAAACACUUACCAAGACUCGAUCAUAGGCACUGAGUAAGCUUAGGAAGCUACUCUCAUUUCCAGGUGUUGUAUAGAAGAAAGACAUGUUUCAGGCGGCCACCUUAUUUUUUAAUACCCUUGCAGCAUCACUAAGGGCUGGCCACAGUGGUUCGAUCGCGAGUUGACAGCCCCGACUACCAAAGAUGUUUUGUCAAGGAAACAUCGUUUUUGACCUUACAGCAGCGUGCUGAAAGGGCUUAAGCGUGUGUCUUAUUAGGAUUUUGCAUGGACUUCCGGCUGAAUACUUAGAAGAAGCACACAUUAUUAUUAUUAUUAUUAUUUUUUAAGCACGAGCUGCUUGUAGCAUGAAGAUGUAUGCAUGAUCCCCUUAAGCAAGAGUUGUCGUUAAUGCGUUAAGCCUUCAGGAACAUGAAUUGGAGAGCCAGUGCCGUAAGCUAUGAGACCUUCUCCUUGACAAAUAAGCGAUUGAGAAUGGCGCUCGGUGCAUGGUGGAAACAUCGAAAGGAUCAUCUAAUAGUGCUUCUUCUAUUCUGUUUUAGUCAUGCACCGUGAUCUAGUUGAGAUAUCCGAUUCUCCUUCUUCGCACCGUAAUAUAUAUGUAUAUAUAUUCUUUUAAUAGAAAGGGCAUAUCUUCCAGCACCAUCUUUCUCUACCACUUAUUCUUAUUUCAUUUUGCAUGCUGCAUUUCUUUGUUGUAGGGGCUAGCUGGCUCAGUGUGUAGUAGCUUUUCCUUUUGAAACUGUAGGGUGUAUCGAUCUUUAGCAUAGUUGACUGCAUUUGGGCUCGAGUUGUACCCCUUUUGUUUGGAGAGCCUAAAGCUCAUGUUGUUGGAAACUUGGAACACAACAUUGUUGCAUACUUUAUAUCAUAACUCUUGAUGUAGAAUGCUUGAGAUAUUGAGCUUCGGCCUAUUUUGUACGCUUUGCUCGGUUGGAAACAAUGAAAUGCAUGAAUUGUUGCAAUUUGGAAUGCAUUGAGAUAAAGAUUUCCAGCUUGUUCUGUACACUCUGCCUGGCUGAAAUACAUGAGUUGCUUGAGAUUUCAUCAGGUCAGGUUGUGGUAGGUGCAAGGUACAUGCUGCCAAUAUUUCUUUUUUUCAGGUUGAGAGCAUCUCACAAGUCGCGGAGGAUACACUUCCUACUCCUCCUCUUGGGACGUCUGGCGUAGCUGCCUACACUGCCAUGCGCCUUCCAGCAGCGCAGCCUCCUGCUCAUCCUUUCCUAAACACAUCUGACACAACUGCUGGCACCUCUCCACAGCUUCCAGCAGUGCUGCCUCCUUUCCUAAGCACAUCCGACACAACUGUCGGCACCUCUCCACAGCUUCCAGCAGUGCUGCCUCCUUUCCUAAGCACAUCCGACAUAACUUCCGGCACCUCUCCACAGCUUCCAGCAGUGCUGCCUCGUGGUGAGAUUAUUGAUGACAGCCAUAAGGAGGAUGAUGUUUCCAUUUCCAUGGGGCAUUUAUCGGAGGAAAGCAUGUCUUGGCAAGAUUGGGAGAAUUCCUUCAUGGCGUUCAAAGCCUUUUUUAAUGGUGGUGCUAAGAUAUGUGAGGCCAUAACUCUGGGCUUUCAUGUGGACUUCCCCAUCAAUCUCGUGAGGAACCUAGCAUGUGCUGUCUUUGGAGUGCGGGCCAUUCAUAGCAUGAAAUUAUCACAUGGUUCUAGUGAGGUGAAAGCUGCUGCCGACACUUUGAACAUUAAGCAACAGGAAUUGGAUAGCCAGCGCAGGGAAGUGCAUGCCUUUUUCCUUGCUAAGUGCGUGACGGAGACAACAACCAGAUCAUCUCCUAGGGCUUCUUUCGUUCUUUUUGGGCAUUCUUCAUAGCUUCAAGGUCGUCUCCUCUUGGCUUGGUGACUGAUUAUCUUGGCGCGUGGUUCUGUUCCCUUGAAGACCAUAGGCUGCAUGGGUCUUUAGCAUGUGUAGUUUUAUCUUGCUUUGACUAUAGUUUUUUUUUUCGUUUUCUUUUGGACACUCUAACGACCCUGUCGUUAUGAAUUCGUAAUGUAGUGUUGAAUCACUGGAGCUUGUAUUAACUUCCGAAUGCUUGAGGCAUGUUGUAAUUUGCAUGUCUUAUAUAUAAAUAUUGCUUGGUUGGCAAAAUUUAUUUUUAUGA